rnacentral:rRNA from 1 species
UACGUAGGGUGCGAGCGUUUAAUCGGAAUUACUGGGCGUAAAGCGUGCGCAGGCGGUUAUUUAAGUCAGGUGUGAAAGCCCUGGGCUUAACCUAGGAAUUGCGCUUGAGACUGGAUAGCUUGGAGUGCGGCAGAGGGAGGUGGAAUUCCACGUGUAGCAGUGAAAUGCGUAGAGAUGUGGAGGAACACCGAUGGCGAAGGCAGCCCCCCUGGGUCAACACUGACGCUCAUGCACGAAAGCGUGGGGAGCAAACAGG